rnacentral:lncRNA from 1 species
AGACUGCGGCAUCGAGCAGCAACCUGUGCAGCACCAAGGAACCUGUGCUGCAGCCCUUUGCAGUCCUUAGCCUCUCCAGGCUGCUGACAAGGGAUGAAGUUGGAUUCCGAGUCACAGAUAGCAGUGCUGCUCCUGCCUUCCUUCAAUCUUGCCUAAUUGCUUUGCCUCCAGGGAUGAGUUCCUUCAAGGUCUGAGUGCUGCUGAUGAAGACACCUGCUCUGCAAGCCCUGAGCCGAUGUUUUCAAUGGAUCUUGACACUGAAUGGGAGAAAGGGCAUCUCCUGAAAGGCUCGUGCCUCGAGGAGUUCGAUGGAGCUGGAAAGCGAGGAGCAGCCGCUCCUGCGGGCAGAUGAGAGCAGCCCCACGAGCCCUCAGCUCCCCGUCCUGCCCGCAGAACCCUCUGCAGCACUGCCGGUGUACAGGUGGGCUCCUCCCCCUGCGAUGGGAGCAUCCCCUCCGCCGGGGCCGCGUCCGUCCGUCCCGUCUGGGUCUGCCGGUCCUCAGAGCCGUGCAGAGGGAUCCCCUCGCAGCACCAGGUGGCACUCUCGGACUUCAAACCGAGCCAGGUUUUCCAAAAGCAGAGCAGCCGCUGGUGGCUUUGGGAGAAGCCAGGCAGAGCUGGGAGCAAACAGAGCAGGAAUGCCUGGAGAAGGCUGAGAUGCAGCACCUGCAGAGGUGGGAGCAGCCCCACGGAGCCACACCGCCACUGCAGGAGACAUCAGUGCUUCCCCUCUGCUGUUCCCAACCUGCCCAGGAGCCCCGUGCUUCAUCUUCCUCCUCUUCUUUCCUUUGUGUUUAUCAUUCAUGUGCACACCACGUUUCCUUGCUGCUUUUUCCCUUUCCUUUUCCUUGGAGAAGGCCCUGCGUGUCUCACCACACCCAUGGGGUGGACAAGUUUGGUCUGAGGUGGUUUCAAUUGAACAUUUUGUGUGAAUGAGCUCUUCUUGCUUCUCCGUCUUUGCUCUCAAGUUCCCUCAUUAAACACAGAAUUCUCUGCUGAAUUCGUUUUUCUCCUUUCUUUCUUUCCUUCCACCUCCCAGUUUUUUUCACGUCUUCCACUUUCCUCUCUGUGGUUUUUAAGGUGUUUAUGGAUUAAUUUUUUAAUUUGGGGGUUAGAAAAGGCAAAGGAGAGGUGUGAUCCUCCGAUCCAUGAUGGUCCCCUGAUUGUUAAAGGUGACAAUCUUGUAUGCAGUGUUGGAGAGGAGUUGGAGGACCCCGACCCUGUAGAGGAGAAGACCCUCUGCUCUUCAUCUUCUGUUUGAGUACAUGGGAGAAACCAUGCGAGCAGGGCUGGAGGAGCUGCUGGCAGCCCGGCUCCUGCUAAUCUGGGAAUUGUAUGCCAGGAAGCACACACCCAGCCGACCUGCCCCAGACAAAGCCUGCCGUGUCCGCACCGGCUCUCCAGGCGUUCCCCGCGCGCCUUGGGUUAUUUCAGAGUUAUCCCAGCAUGGGUUCCCUCCCCAGACUUCCACCUGUGCUGGUUGCGGGGUUGGAGCGCAUUGCUCCCGGCAUGGCUCGCAUGCUCUCCUUCUGCAAAAUGGGGCUGUGCCAUCUAAACUCUCCUGGCCAACCUGAAAUACCAGUGGUGAGAGCGGGAUCCCCUCCCUGCUUGUCUUGCAGGUGUUCACUUUGGACCCUAACGAUGGCAAAUUAACCAGGGCCAUUGUUACUUUCUCUGGGUUGAGCAGAGCUAUUGCGUCAAUAGAAACAUCCCACAUCACCUCUCUGGUAGCAGAACUCUGCGUCCUUGAUGUGUCCUUAGAAACCUUCAGCUCCAAAUAAACUUCUGCGGGAUUUCCUGUAGAAAAGCACUAUAUAAAAUGUGGGUAUUCUUAGCAGUGCCCCUCUGCCAGGUCGUGUGUCACACACCAGCACCGGGCGAGGAGAUGCCAGGAGGAAGGGUUUGCCUCUGCUGAGUCACUUGGGUUACACACUGCCUUGGGAAGCAGCUGCUGUCAUCUGCUAAACGAGGGUUGCCAGAGCUGACCAAGUCAUUUCCACAGCAUUCAAGCAUCCCUGGGUAGGGCAGCCCUCAUCCCUGCACCAUUCCCACUGUGUGGGUGGGAAUUGGAGGGGUCUGCACGGAGCCACGCUUGGCACUGCAUGUGGUGGGUGGUGGGAGUGGGCAGGGUGUGUUCUGCUCUCCUCUAUCAGGGCAGAGCUGGGCCCACCGCCACGGUGAGCAGCUGCACGCUCACGUGGUGCUCCCACAUCCUGCACAACGUAUUUCAAGAGGUGCUAUUUACAAACACCAACACGGUGCUAGAGCAAGUGCUGCAACCUGCACGGCGUGGAGGAG